UGAUUUAAAGGCGGAGCUCUGUAACUGCUAAAGUGUAGGCGGAGCUCUGUGACUGGCAAUUUAAAGGCAGAGCUCUGUAACUGGUGAUUUAAAGGCGGAGCUCUGUAACUGGUGAUUUAAAGGCGGAGCUCUGUAACUGCUAAAGUGUAGGCGGAGCUCUGUGACUGGCAAUUUAAAGGCAGAGCUCUGUAACUGGUGAUUUAAAGGCGGAGCUCUGUAACUGGUGAUUUAAAGGUGGAGCUCUGUAACUGGUGAUUUAAAGGCGGAGCUCUGUAACUGCUAAAGUGUAGGCGGAGCUCUGUGACUGGCAAUUUAAAGGCAGAGCUCUGUAACUGGUGAUUUAAAGGCGGAGCUCUGUAACUGCUAAAGUGAAGGUGAAGCUCUGUAACUGCUAAAGUGAAGGUGGAGCUCUGUGACUGGUAAUUUAAAGGCGGAGCUCUGUAACUGACAAUUUAAAGGCGGAGCUCUGUAACUGCUAAAGUGAAGGCGGAGCUCUGUAACUGCUAAAGUGAAGGCGGAGCUCUGUGACUGGUAAUUUAAAGGCAGAGCUCUGUAACUGUUGAAGUGAAGGCGGAGCUCUGUGACUGGUGAUUUGAAGAUGGAGCUCUGCAACUGUUCAGGUGAAGGUGAAUCUCUCUAAUUAUUGAUUUGAA